rnacentral:rRNA from 1 species
GAUGAACGCUGGCGGCGUGCCUAAUACAUGCAGGUCGAGCGAACGGACGAGAAGCUUGCUUCUCUGAUGUUAGCGGCGGACGGGUGAGUAACACGUGGAUAACCUACCUAUAAGACUGGGAUAACUUCGGGAAACCGUAGCUAAUACCGGAUAAUAUUUUGAACCGCAUGGUUCAAAAGUGAAAGACGGUCUUGCUGUCACUUAUAGAUGGAUCCGCGCUGCAUUAGCUAGUUGGUAAGGUAACGGCUUACCAAGGCAACGAUGCAUAGCCGACCCGAGAGGGUGAUCGGCCACACUGGAACUGAGACACGGUCCAGACUCCUACGGGAGGCAGCAGUAGGGAAUCUUCCGCAAUGGGCGAAAGCCUGACGGAGCAACGCCGCGUGAGUGAUGAAGGUCUUCGGAUCGUAAAACUCUGUUAUUAGGGAAGAACAUAUGUGUAAGUAACUGUGCACAUCUUGACGGUACCUAAUCAGAAAGCCACGGCUAACUACGUG